rnacentral:rRNA from 1 species
GACGAACGCUGGCGGCGUGCCUAAUACAUGCAAGUAGAACGCUGAAGGAGGAGCUUGCUUCUCUGGAUGAGUUGCGAACGGGUGAGUAACGCGUAGGUAACCUGCCUGGUAGCGGGGGAUAACUAUUGGAAACGAUAGCUAAUACCGCAUAAUAGUAGAUGUUGCAUGACAUUUGCUUAAAAGGUGCAAUUGCAUCACUACCAGAUGGACCUGCGUUGUAUUAGCUAGUUGGUGAGGUAACGGCUCACCAAGGCGACGAUACAUAGCCGACCUGAGAGGGUGAUCGGCCACACUGGGACUGAGACACGGCCCAGACUCCUACGGGAGGCAGCAGUAGGGAAUCUUCGGCAAUGGACGGAAGGCUGACCGAGCAACGCCGCGUGAGUGAAGAAGGUUUUCGGAUCGUAAAGCUCUGUUGUAAGAGAAGAACGAGUGUGAGAGUGGAAAGUUCACACUGUGACGGUAUCUUACCAGAAAGAGACGGCUAACUACGUG